AGGCUAUGAUGCGAGCACUUCCUCAAUAAGUCCUUGAAUCUCUCCCAAGCUUCAUACAAACUCUCUUGAUCAUGGUGAGCAAAAGUCAUUAUCUCAUUGCGAAGCUU
rnacentral:snoRNA from 1 species